GGCCGCCUGGCGUAAUGGAAGCGCGUCUGACUACGAAUCAGGAGGUUGCAGGUUCGACCCCUGCGGUGGUCA
rnacentral:tRNA from 1 species